AUUGAACGCUGGCGGCAGGCCUAACACAUGCAAGUCGAGCGAGAAAGGUCUUCGGACUGAGUACAGCGGCGGACGGGUGAGUAAAGCGUAGGAAUCUACCUGGUAGUGGGGGAUAACUUGGGGAAACUCAAACUAAUACCGCAUACGCCUACGGGGGAAAGCGGGGACCGUUCGGGCCUCGCGCUAUCAGAUGAGCCUGCGUAGGAUUAGCUAGUUGGUGAGGUAAAGGCUCACCAAGGCGACGAUCCUUAGCUGGUCUGAGAGGAUGAUCAGCCACACUGGGACUGAGACACGGCCCAGACUCCUACGGGAGGCAGCAGUGGGGAAUAUUGCGCAAUGGGCGAAAGCCUGACGCAGCCAUGCCGCGUGUGUGAAGAAGGCCUUAGGGUUGUAAAGCACUUUCAAUUGGGAAGAAAAGUUGGUCGUUAAUAGCGGCCAGCCCUGACAUUACCUUUAGAAGAAGGACCGGCUAACUCCGUG
rnacentral:rRNA from 1 species